GGGGCUGUGGCUCAGUGGCAGAGCAUCAGUUUUGCAUUCAGGUGGUCUUGAGUUCGAUCCCUGGGAAAGGGCACUA
rnacentral:tRNA from 1 species